AAGUCGUAACAAGGUUUCCGUAGGUGAACCUGCGGAAGGAUCAUUACUGAAGAGAUGGUAGUAGUUGAAGCUGGCUCUUAGGGGCAUGUGCUCGCUCUAUCGCUUUUUCUACUCUCCACUGUGCACCUAUUGUAGGCUAUGAUAUCAACUCUCAAACGGUCUCUUCUAUAAGAGUCGUUUGGAUAGAAGGCUUGCAUUCAUUUGCUAGCUUUCGAUUGUUGUAGCCUAUGUUCAUACAAACCUUUGAUAGUCUUAUGAAUGUGUAUUGUUGGUCUUUGACCGAUAAAUCAUUAUACAACUUUCAGCAACGGAUCUCUUGGCUCUC
rnacentral:misc_RNA from 1 species